GCCGGGAGCGGGGCUGGCCCUGCCAGGCGCUUGGGCUGCCCUGGAAGCUAGUCCCGAGCGGAGGGCUCUAUUGUUAUUUAUUGUGCGGCUGUUGCACGCUGUGCCUGCUGCCCAGGCUCGGCGCAUGGGGCUUGCCCGGCUAGAGUACAGGGAGGGACGGGCAGGCAGGCAGGCAGGCAGACUCACCCGCGCUGGGGGGAGCCCGUAGUGGGCACCGACAGGCCGUCUCCAGCGGAGCCCAAAGUUUUGCCUGCCGGAGCAGCAGCAGCAUUUGCUGAGGAGCUGUGUACUGGCGAUCAUUCACUCAGAGCCUUUCUCACUGCUAUCUCUCGUCAAUCUCCUGAGAACCACUUUCUGAGUGAUUCCUGCUUCCGAACAUGUUUCCCAUGGUAGGGGUUUUGAUCCCUUGCCAGAUUUGCCCUGAGCCAUGAGUGAAUAUGUGUAAUGCCCACAAGUAAAACUGGUGAGUCAACUAACCCAAGUCUGUAGCUUUUUUUUUUCCCCCGCUUGUUACUUGGUAUGCUUUUGUUUUUUAGUAUUGUUUGUGCUUAAAAGUAUGUCACUAGUUUUCUGCUGUAUAAUAUUAUAUAAGAAUCUGAUUUAAUAAUAGAAAAAAAACUCCAGAGCUUACAUGAAAAUGCAAGAUGUUGUAGAUGUUUGAUAUAGACAGGCAUGGUCUAAGAAUGGCUUUGCAGGCACUGCACAUCACAAUUAAAUAUGGCUACAUAGAGGCCUUUUUCCAUGGCAUCGUUAUUGCUUUGCUUCCAAAGG
rnacentral:lncRNA from 1 species